UAGGUUUUGAACUGACCUUCGUUGCUUCGC
rnacentral:piRNA from 1 species